AACGCACCUUGCGCUCCUUGGCAUUCCGAGGAGCAUGCCUGUUUGAGUGUCAUGCAGUCAUCAAGCCGCUUCUUUUCCUCUUCCCCCGAGGGAGAGGGAGGGGUAGGCCUUGAGGUUGGGUGUUUGCCGGGUGGGGCGAAGCGCCGCCGGCUCUCCCGAAAUCCAUUAGCAGGUACACGCGUCUGGGACCGCGCCCCUGGCAUGAUGAGAAGAAUUUGCCAGGCAUACCGUCCGCAGACGCGGGGUUGCUCACAACCGAGUCGGCACCCGGGUCCCCCGGCCGCCGACGGAAAUGAAGAUCCGACCUCAAAUCAGGCAGGACUACCCGCCGAACUUAA
rnacentral:misc_RNA from 1 species